rnacentral:rRNA from 1 species
AGCGAACGCUGGCGGCAGGCCUAACACAUGCAAGUCGAACGAACUCUUCGGAGUUAGUGGCGGACGGGUGAGUAACACGUGGGAACGUGCCUUUUGGUUCGGAAUAACUCAGGGAAACUUGUGCUAAUACCGAAUGUGCCCUUCGGGGGAAAGAUUUAUCGCCAUUAGAGCGGCCCGCGUCUGAUUAGCUAGUUGGUGAGGUAACGGCUCACCAAGGCGACGAUCAGUAGCUGGUCUGAGAGGAUGGCCAGCCACACUGGGACUGAGACACGGCCCAGACUCCUACGGGAAGCAGCAGUGGGGAAUCUUGCGCAAUGGGCGAAAGCCUGACGCAGCCAUGCCGCGUGAAUGAUGAAGGUCUUAGGAUUGUAAAAUUCUUUCACCGGGGACGAUAAUGACGGUACCCGGAGAAGAAGCCCCGGCUAACUUCGUG